CCUACGGGUGGCAGCAGUAGGGAAUGUUGCGCAAUGGGGGAAACCCUGAAGCAGCAACGCCGCGUGAUGGAUGAAGCUCUUCGGGGUGGAAAGAUCUGUCAGUGGGGACGAAACCUGACGGUACCCAAAGAGGAAGCACCGGCUAACUCCGUGCCAGUAGCCGCGGUAAUACGGGGGUUGCAAGCGUUGUCCGGAAUUAUUGGGCGUAAAGAGUUCGGAGGUGGCACGUUAAGUCUGGUGGUAAAGGCGGAGGCUCAACUUCCGUAGGGCACUUGAUAUUGGGGGGCUUGAGUGCGGUAGAGGUAAAGGGAAUUCCUGGUGUAGCGGUGAAAUGCUUAGAUAUCAGGAGGAACAUCGGUGGCGUAGGCGCUUUACUGGGCCGUAAUUGACACUGAGGAACGAAAGCCGGGGUAGCAAAUAGGAUUAGAUACCCUUGUAGUC
rnacentral:rRNA from 1 species